GAUGAACGCUAGCGGCAGGCUUAACACAUGCAAGUCGAGGGGUAUAGUUCUUCGGAAUUAGAGACCGGCGCACGGGUGCGUAACGCGUAUGCAAUCUACCUUUCACAGAGGGAUAGCCCCAGAGAAAUUUGGAUUAAUACCUCAUAGUACAGCAGUUUCGCAUGAAACCACUAUUAAAGUCACAACGGUGAAAGAUGAGCAUGCGUCCCAUUAGCUAGUUGGUAAGGUAACGGCUUACCAAGGCAACGAUGGGUAGGGGUCCUGAGAGGGAGAUCCCCCCACACUGGUACUGAGACACGGACCAGACUCCUACGGGAGGCAGCAGUGAGGAAUAUUGGACAAUGGGCGCAAGCCUGAUCCAGCCAUGCCGCGUGCAGGAUGACGGUCCUAUGGAUUGUAACUGCUUUUAUACAGGUAAGAAACACUACUUCGUGAAGUAGCUUGACGGUACUG
rnacentral:rRNA from 1 species